CAGGUGACAGGUGGUGCAUGGUUGUCGUCAGCUCGUGUCGUGAGAUGUUGGGUUAAGUCCCGCAACGAGCGCAACCCUCGACCUUAGUUGCCAGCAUUCAGUUGGGCACUCUAAGGUGACUGCCGGCUAAAAGUCGGAGGAAGGUGGGGAUGACGUCAAAUCAUCAUGCCCCUUAUGACCUGGGCUACACACGUGCUACAAUGGGCGGUACAAAGGGUCGCGAACCCGCGAGGGGGAGCCAAUCCCAAAAAGCCGCUCUCAGUUCGGAUUGCAGGCUGCAACUCGCCUGCAUGAAGCCGGAAUCGCUAGUAAUCGCGGAUCAGCAUGCCGCGGUGAAUACGUUCCCGGGCCUU
rnacentral:rRNA from 1 species